rnacentral:tRNA from 1 species
UCCCCGCUAGCUCAACGGUAGAGCGCCCGGCUGUUAACCGGUUGGUUCCUGGUUCGAAUCCGGGGCGGGGAGCCA